UCACUUCAGCAGUGUUUGUACUAAAAUUGGACCGAUAUGGAGAAGAUUAAUGUGGCUCCUAUGCAAGGAUGACAAGCAAAUUUGAGAAGCUUUCCACAUUGUU
ensembl:snRNA U6 U6 spliceosomal RNA